UAUAUAGCUUUGGGCUUUGGAGUUUUUUUUUUUUUAAUGACAGCUUGACAUAUGAUUCACAUAUUAUACAAUUAACUCAUUUAGAGUGUACAAUUCAAUGGUUUUUGGUAUAUUCUUGGUAAAUUUAUGCGACCAUCACUAGGAUUAAUUGUAGAACUUUUUUCUUUUGUGUCUUUCUUUCUUUUUUUUUUUUUUUUUUUUAGACAGAGUCUGCAACAUGUGCCUCCCGAGUUCAUGCCAUUCUCCUGCCUCAGUCUC
rnacentral:lncRNA from 10 species